rnacentral:miRNA from 1 species
UAGGUUAGCCAGAAAGUUUGUUUGGGUUUUUCAUAAUAUCAUAUGGAAAAUCCCAGACAAACUUAUAGGCCAACCCAAU